UUUCCGGUUGAUGCCUGGCGGAGGCAUAUUGCUAUCAGGGUUUGACUAAGACAUGCGAGUCGAGAGGUGAAAGACCUCGGCAUACUGCUCAGUAACACGUGGAUAAUCUGCCCUCAGGUGAGGAAUAAUCCCGGGAAACUGGGGGCUAAUGCCUCAUAGGAGACGGGUGCUGGAAUGCUCUGUCUCCGAAAGGUCCGCCGCCUGAGGAUGAGUCUGCGUCCGAUUAGGUUGUUGUUGGGGUAACGGCCCAACAAGCCUUUGAUCGGUACGGGUUGUGGGAGCAAGAGCCCGGAGAUGGAUUCUGAGACAUGAAUCCAGGCCCUACGGGGCGCAGCAGGCGCGAAAACUUUACAAUGCGAGCAAUCGUGAUAAGGAAACCCUGAGUGCCUGUCAAUGCAGGCUGUUCUGGUGUCUAACACACACCAGGAGAAAGGGCGGGGCAAGACCGGUGCCAGCCGCCGCGGUAAUACCGGCUGCUCGAGUGAUAGCCACUUUUACUGGGCUUAAGGCGUUCGUAGCUUGGUCGUUAAGUCUCUGGGGAAAUCUUUUGGCUCAACCAAAAGGCGUCUCAGGGAAACUGACGAUCUUGGAACCGGGAGAGGUAAGACGUACUUCGGGGGUAGGAGUGAAAUCUUGUAAUCCCCGAGGGACGACCGAUGGCGAAGGCACCUUACCAGAACGGCUUCGACAGUGAGGGACGAAAGCUGGGGGGGCAAACCGGAUUAGAUACCCGGGUAGUCCCAGCCGUAAACGAUGUGCGUUAGGUGUGUCAGUGACCACGAGUCGCUGAGGUGCCGAAGGGAAACCGUGAAACGCACCGCCUGGGAAGUACGGUCGCAAGGCUGAAACUUAAAGGAAUGGGCGGGGGGGCAC
rnacentral:rRNA from 1 species